UACGGAGGGAGCGAGCGUUAAUCGGAAUUACUGGGCGUAAAGCGCGCGUAGGCGGCUAUGUAAGUCGGAUGUGAAAGCCCUGGGCUCAACCUGGGAAUUGCAUUCGAAACCGCAGAGCUAGAGUAUGGUAGAGGGAAGUGGAAUUUCCGGUGUAGCGGUGAAAUGCGUAGAUAUCGGAAGGAACACCAGUGGCGAAGGCGACUUCCUGGGCCAAUACUGACGCUGAGGUGCGAAAGCGUGGGGAGCAAACGGG
rnacentral:rRNA from 1 species